UUCUUCGUCUUCCAUAGAGCUCAGUGCUAUUCCUCUCUAAAGCGAAUACGAUUCGUCAAUGGCGAGGUCACCUCCAUGGUUGCGAUCGAGUUGUGAAAGAAAAUCGAGGUAACCUACCUGGUACGUCACCUAUGUAAACGACAUGGUACCUGACGGUUGAGGCAAACCAUUUCACUUGAAACUCCGAUUCGAAUAGCCUUUUAAUCUCUUGAUUAUAAUUGCUUGCACAAAGUUUUCUGUUAUUUGACUCUUUGAUUGAUUGCUUCUCCAUCAUGUAAAUUCUUUUUUGUUAAAUGAGUUUUACAUACUAUAUUUUCUAUUGCAUUGGAGUUGCUGUGAACUUACUGUUGUUUGGUUUCAAUUAUUUGUAAAAUAAUGCCAUCUUAAUAGUUUGAUUGAUGCUUAUUGGAAGAGUUAGUUUUCAUUUUAAAAACUUCGCAAUCAUGUUUUUCUUCAGUGCUUUAUUUGACUCACUUGUAAAGCUACGGAAUGUGGAAUUGGGGAAACUCAUCUACUGCUUGAAUGAACACGGGUUCAAGCAGUUGCUUGGAAUUAUCAUGCACCACAGGUUCUUCUUAGUGGAUCGUUUGAUCAUACGGUUGUCUUGAAGGAUGGUAGGAUGCCAUCACAUUCUGGCUUUAAGUGGUCAGUCACAGCUGAUGUAGAGAGCUUGGCAUGGGAUCCGCACACUGAGAACUUUUUUGUGGUGUGUUAUGGUUAUUUCUAAGGGCCUAAGUGAGUCUUGAAGAUGGUGUUGUAAAUUGUUUUGAUGUUCGGACUGCCAAGUCUGAUUCCACAUCUGAGCUGAGUCCUACGUUUACACUCUAUGCACAUGACAAAGCUGUUACCUCACUAUCCUAAAAUCUUUCAGUACCUAAUGUACGUAUCUUCAACAUUUUGGUGAGAAAAUAAGCUUAUUAUGUACUUUAGUUUAACCCUGCCCUGUUGACGUGACUUCGUGAAGCUUCUUGCUACUGGUUCCAUGGAUAAAACGGUAAAGCUUUGGGGUUUAUCGAACAACCAACCAUCUUGUGUAGCAUCUAAAAUAAUGCCAACUGAAAAAUUAAGGUGAUAACUUAAUUUAUCAAAGUUCGCAAUUCACCUUAAAGCAGUACAGUCACUGUUUACUAAUGAGUUGCAGAAAGACAGGCCUGAAAUGCAUGAGGUUGUCAAAUUGUUGGACGCAAUGCUAGUUUGAAGGAUUUGUUGUGGUGAUCAUCAAAAUGAUGUACAUAGAAGCGAAAAGAUUGCAAGUUUGAGAGAUGAGUCUCGAGUCUCAGAUUGGAAACAUAAGAUUGUGGUACGAGGUUUAUAUGGAUUUUGGAUUUUCCUACCUUACGAGCUAAUUUUUGAGGUGAGAUUCUUGUAAGUUUCGUAUCAAUUAAUAUAAAAGCUGGUAUGGCACUGAACCCAUAUUAAAAACAUAAGGUUUUAGACUCAUCUAUUAAUUGUUGUUUAGAUUAUCAGAAUCAGUAUAUAUAUUCUGUUGCUGGCAUAAUUAAUUAGAUUAUUGAAUUGGAUUUUGUCAUCUCUCUCUUGAUUAUCCUGUCUGUUAAUA